GAUGAACGCUGGCGGCGUGCCUAAUACAUGCGAGUCGAGCGAACAGACGAGGAGCUUGCUCCUUUGACGUUAGCGGCGGACGGGUGAGUAACACGUGGGUAACCUACCUAUAAGACUGGGAUAACUUCGGGAAACCGGAGCUAAUACCGGAUAAUAUUUCGAACCGCAUGGUUCGAUAGUGAAAGAUGGCUUUGCUAUCACUUAUAGAUGGACCUGCGCCGUAUUAGCUAGUUGGUAAGGUAACGGCUUACCAAGGCAACGAUACGUAGCCGACCUGAGAGGGCGAUCGGCCACACUGGAACUGAGACACGGUCCAGACUCCUACGGGAGGCAGCAGUAGGGAAUCUUCCGCAAUGGGCGAAAGCCUGACGGAGCAACGCCGCGUGAGUGAUGAAGGUCUUCGGAUCGUAAAACUCUGUUAUUAGGGAAGAACAAACGUGUAAGUAACUGUGCACGUCUUGACGGUACCUAAUCAGAAAGCCACGGCUAACUACGUG
rnacentral:rRNA from 1 species